UGGGGAAUAUUGGACAAUGGGCGCAAGCCUGAUCCAGCAAUGCCGCGUGUGUGAAGAAGGCCUGCGGGUUGUAAAGCACUUUUGUCCGGAAAGAAAUCGCACGGAUUAAUACCCUGUGUGGAUGACGGUAUCGGAAGAAUAAGCACCGGCUAACUUCGUGCCAGCAGUCGCGGUAAUACGAAGGGUGCAAGCGUUAAUCGGACUUACUGGGCGUAAAGGGUGCGUAGGUGGUCUGUUAAGUCGGAUGUGAAAGCCCCGGGCUCAACCUGGGAAUGGCAUCUGAUACUGGCGGACUUGGAGUCUUGGAGAGGGUGGUGGAAUUCCUGGUGUAGCGGUGAAAUGCGUAGAGAUCAGGAGGAACACUAGUGGCGAAGGCGGCCACCUGGCCAAAAGACUGACGCUGAGGCACGAAAAGCGUGGGGAGCAAACA
rnacentral:rRNA from 1 species